GCUGGGCACGGUGGUGCAUGCCUGUAAUCCCAGCAGCUCAGGAGGCUGAGGCAGGAGGAUCUCGAGUUCAAAACCAGCCUCAGCAAAAGCGAGGUGCUAAGCAACUCAGUGAGACCCUGUCUCUA
rnacentral:sRNA from 1 species